rnacentral:rRNA from 1 species
AUUGAACGCUGGCGGCAGGCCUAACACAUGCAAGUCGAACGAGUGGCGGACGGGUGAGUAAUGUCUGGGAAACUGCCCGAUGGAGGGGGAUAACUACUGGAAACGGUAGCUAAUACCGCAUACCAUCGGAUGUGCCCAGAUGGGAUUAGCUGGUUGGUGGGGUAAAGGCUCACCAAGGCGACGAUCCCUAGCUGGUCUGAGAGGAUGACCAGCCACACUGGAACUGAGACACGGUCCAAACUCCUACGGGAGGCAGCAGUGGGGAAUAUUGCACAAUGGGCGCAAGCCUGAUGCAGCCAUGCCGCGUGUGUGAAGAAGGCCUUCGGGUUGUAAAGCACUUUCAGCGGGGAGGCGUUACCCGCAGAAGAAGCACCGGCUAACUCCGUGCCAGCAGCCGCGGUAAUUC